UUGUCAAUAGCCUAACGGCUGAACCAGCAACUUGGAGGAAUGUAAUUACUACUAAGUAGUUUAAAUUUCUAGGUAGAAUUAUGAUAAUGACGUUAUCUAUCUAUGAGUCUUGACCAAAUUACGUGCCAGCAGUCGCGGUAAUACGUAGAAGCCAAGUGUUAUUCAUGUUUAUUAGGUUUAAAGAGUACCAAGACGGUUAAUAAAGCCCGAAAUAAAUAAAGGGGACACAUUAACUUGAGUUAUAUGAAAAGAAGCUCUAAGGUACUGUUGAGUGGAGAGAUGAAAUUUUAUGAUACCAGAUGAUUGGCACAGAUUAAUGCGAAGGCAUCUUCUUAUGUAAUAACUGACGUUGUAGGACGAAGGCUUAGGGAGUAAACAGGAUUAGGUACCCUAGUAAUCUAGGCAGAAAAUGAUGAAUGUCAUAGGUUUGAUAGUUAUUUUUUUAUGAAUAUGAAUAUGAAUAUGGAUAUACAUAUGUAUAUUUGACUGUUAUGGAAGCAUGUAAGGUGAAGAAGUAAUAGGUAAAAUAACUAGGUGUCUAUAAAUGAAAGUGUAAGCAUUCCACCUCAAGAGUAAUUUGGCAACAUUGGAACUGAAAUCAUUAGACCGUGUCUGAAACCAGUAGUGAAGUAUGUUGUUUAAUUAGAUGAUACACAAGAACCUUACCACAACUUGAAUAUAUAUAUAUAUAUAAUGUAUUUGUAUUUACAAGCGCUGCACGGCUGUCUACAGUUAAUGUCGUGAGAUUUUGGUUAGCUCCAUAAAAUUGACGUAAACCCUAAUUUUAUUUAUAAAUAUAAUUAACAUUGCUAUAAUUGAUGUUUAAUAGGGAACAUGACAAGUCAUCAUGGCCAAAACUUA
rnacentral:rRNA from 1 species